GACGAACGCUGGCGGCGUGCCUAACACAUGAGACAGCUUGCUGAGGAUUGUGACUUAGUGGCGAACGGGUGAGUAAUGCAUGAGCAACCUGCCCUUCAGUGGGGGACAACAGUUGGAAACGACUGCUAAUACCGCAUAACACUUCCGAAAGGCAUCUUUUGGAAGUCAAAGAUUUAUUGCUGAAGGAUGGGCUCAUGUCUGAUUAGCUAGUUGGUGAGGUAACGGCUCACCAAGGCGACGAUCAGUAGCCGGUCUGAGAGGAUGAACGGCCACAUUGGGACUGAGAUGCGGCCCAGACUCCUACGGGAGGCAGCAGUGGGGAAUAUUGGGCAAUGGGCGAAAGCCUGACCCAGCAAUGCCGCGUGAAGGAAGAAGGCCUUCGGGUUGUAAACUUCUUUUACCGAGGACGAACAAAUGACGGUACUCGGCGAAUAAGCUCCGGCUAACUACGUG
rnacentral:rRNA from 1 species